AUUGAACGCUGGCGGCAGGCCUAACACAUGCAAGUCGAGCGGAUGAAGGGAGCUUGCUCCUGGAUUCAGCGGCGGACGGGUGAGUAAUGCCUAGGAAUCUGCCUGGUAGUGGGGGAUAACGUCCGGAAACGGGCGCUAAUACCGCAUACGUCCUGAGGGAGAAAGUGGGGGAUCUUCGGACCUCACGCUAUCAGAUGAGCCUAGGUCGGAUUAGCUAGUUGGUGGGGUAAAGGCCUACCAAGGCGACGAUCCGUAACUGGUCUGAGAGGGUGAUCAGUCACACUGGAACUGAGACACGGUCCAGACUCCUACGGGAGGCAGCAGUGGGGAAUAUUGGACAAUGGGCGAAAGCCUGAUCCAGCCAUGCCGCGUGUGUGAAGAAGGUCUUCGGAUUGUAAAGCACUUUAAGUUGGGAGGAAGAGCAGUAAGUUAAUACCUGGCUGUUUUGACGUUACCAACAGAAUAAGCACCGGCUAACUUCGUG
rnacentral:rRNA from 1 species